AUUCACUCCGCCUCGAGUUGAGACGUUCAUCCACUCAUUCAUGGUGUCGUCAUCCUUGUCAUUAAAGUACCGAAACUGACAUUGAGGAGUGUGUUUCUUCAGGCGGGAAUUGGAUGACGUCACUCCAAUCACUGUUUCGGACGUUGCGAGGGCGGGACGGCCAACUUCAUCAGGAGAACUGCGCAGCUCAUGUGACUGGCUACCAACUCCGGGUUCCGCCCUGAAGACACUGAUUGGAGCACACCGGGCCCGACGCGCUCCAAUCCCCGGGCCAUCUCAGCGCACACCUGCGAGAGAUGACGCUACAAUGCCUGGGGACAGCUAUCACUCGGGAGGCUCUGUUGCUAUCUGACCGCUCUGUCGGUGCACCUAAGUUGUCUUUUGGGCGACACUCAGAUCGAACCCCUCCUUUGCUCCCAAGAGCCUAAGGAGUUCGUUCAGGUCAAGGGCUAUUCAGUUAGGUGGCUUUAAUCUUCCAUUGUUAACCAAUCAGAAGUGGCCCAUGAUAGAAGGUGAUCCAAUCACCUGCCAAGUAUUUUUCA